CGGAGCGGAGCGGUGGCAUUCGGGCAUUGUUUGUUUAGAAAGGAGAAAAGAAGAAGGAGGACGAGGGCCAGACGGGCGGCGAUUGGGGAUGCUCGUUCGUUAGGACGGACGGGGUGUCCGUGUGGUGGGGGGGUGCCGGAGGUCUAGCCUCGACCGCUCAGGGCCUGGGAUGAUGUGGACGACGAGACUCACUCCGCCGGCCCGACCCCCAACCAGCGAAGGACCAACCGGCGGGUGCUGGUCAAGAACUAGGGCCUGACGAAGUUCGCCCGGCCCAGACCAGCAAAGAACCAACUUGACUAACCAACGACGACUGAACCAGCUAGAGGAGAAGAAGGUAACGACGAAGCAGCACAGCCGACCGGUAACGUCAACGUGUGUUCCACAAACAAACCGCCGUCCCGCCGUCGCCCGCGACGACUCGAUCCAACGAGCGACCGAAGAAGCAACCACAAUUCGCCAUACGGUCCAUCCAUCUAGACGAGCCUCCCUGCCGGUAAGCUGUCAACGACAUAGUUUCGACCUAUCUGUCCGUCUAGAACUCUCUGCGGCUAGUGACAAGACGGCGAGCCUGCCUGGGACAACUAAGCAUCGAGAGUUCGAAAUGGUACGACUCUUUAGGAACGACUCACACCUAUUUGAAGUGUAUCCUCCAAAGACUCCGACUUGGUCCGCGAAAACUGAACACUCCCGACUCCUAGUCAUUAAUUAGUUUAGUACACCUCUGGCAAGUCCGUCGAGUACGGGUUUCUCGUAAGGCCCGGAAGACCGCCGGAGCUCCCGGCUUGGUAGCUACAGCCGUUACACUUCCACGUGCAGGCCCUUCGGUAACGACUCCCACCCAAGAGCACGCACAUGGAGCGGGCCCUGGACUGGUUGGGUCGUUUCUUCAUGCGCGAGUUCGUGCAGUAACGGGUCCUGUUCCUCAGCGACCUGGACCACGUCUUCCUCUAGUGCCACUACUCCCGCGAGUUCCCCGUGGGCUUGCACCAGUGCGAGCAACGCGUGCGGUAUUACCUAUACCCGGCACCCUCCCUCCGCGAAGACGACUACCUCAAGACGCUCUCUAGCGACCAAAGACGGAACCUGUGAUCUCCAUGACGUCCCAAGAUACUACUCCUCGUCCAACGAGAGUAGAAGGCCCUACAAACGUUACGCCACAAGCGCUACGUGACGGUCUGUGGUGGACAACGAGUGUCCCUGGAUUUCCGGCUUUUACACGAAGAACCACGACUGCCCCGAACCUUUAAUACACUAAAACCAUCACAUAGUUGUUUGGUAUUCACGAAACUAUUUGGUCUCCUCUCCCCGUAACUUCUUCUACAGUAGUCUUUCGUAUGUUGAGGACGAAUAUCCCGAGGACUCUACACCCUGAACAUGUCCUCCCUUCAAUAAUCACUCUUUCAUCUAUAUACCCGAGAACCUACAGAGUACAUAUCUUAGACGAUGAAUUUUAGUCGAAAACCAAAUCUUAGUUUCGAAGUCUAGGAGUUACCCUUGAUAGCAUAGGGACUUAAUGGCUUCAUGACAAGAAGGUAAUGUUCAGACUAGCUUCUCUACGAAGUCAGGAGAGGUCUACGGUCUGGUCUGUAAUGUGUCCAUACCAAAGCACAAUUACUCAAUGAAGGAAACCUCGACGUUUUCCUAAAUGGACUACCUAGGGGUAGACCUAGUCGUAAACUUAACGUUUGAUGACUCCUACUUCCUGGAAGAAGUAGUGCCAGUUCUCUGUUACACUCUUUAUGUGGAGGCUUUCCAGGAAGGUAAAACUCCAGUGUUCAAGGACGACUCUCAUUCCCAAGACGUCCACGUAAAACCAGUUGAGUUGUACGUGUUCUUGAUCGAAAACGCCUACUGUUCCCCAGUCAAGAUCUAGUUCUCGGGUAUGUACUACCGUAUCGUUUCGUUGGAGUCCGUUUCUUGGUCUUGUGUUGUGCCUUACGUAUGUCUGUCAGAGAAAGACGAAGACAACUAUCAAGAGGACCCCUAAAACUUUAUUCCAAAAGAGGUUUACCAAGUCUUAUACCGGAUCUCUUUUGGGUUUUGUGAUUUGGUCUAUUGUUUUGGUCACGUGUCUGACGGUGAAAAUCGAGGAAACACCGUCUGAAACUAUUACAAUUCCACUCGAGUCUCCUGUUACGGCCAUCAAAUUUGCGCCGUUCAUUUAACUUUCCUGUUGUCGACCUCCGGCUUCAUUGAAAUGAGUUCCUCGUUAACUUCUAUCGUUUGAAUCUCUUCCUUCUUUAGAGUGACUUCAAACUAUCUAACAGUCGGUAAACGAGGAGAGUCUCCGCCCUCUAUGUCCUUGAAUUUGUUCGCGAUCGGUGUUGAAGACGUGGUCACGGUCAAUUCCUCAACUUUCUUUUAAACUUCCGACUUAAGAGGGGUGGGUCGUGUUCGGAACUGUGAGGCGGUUCCCUCUUCUAACGUCCUUGGGGUGGUCUCGAGGCCGUUCCAGAUAAAUGUAGUUCAGGUCCCUGUCGUUCGGGUCUAGGGUUCGGUACCAGGCGAAAGGGACUUCUCGGCUUUCGAGUUCGUCGACAUUUUUCACGGGUGGGCUCCAGCCAGGCUUGAAAUUCCCGUAGUGUUUCGUUGUUUCGGCCGAGCGAAUUAGUCAGUUUUUGUUUGAGACCACGGCUGGGGAAACGGAAGCCAGUUCUAUCGAAAUUCCGACAUGGAAGACCGUGGCACGGAAGACUCUACAGUUUAAACCCCUUACGAAGAGUCAGGGAGUUGUGAGAAUUCCGACUUCACCUCUUUCUACGUGGGAUGGUUGGUCGACCUACCUGACCCAAAAUUACACGAUAGCGGUUAUUCCUAUAAACCAUAGACUACUCUGAUAUGAGGAUAUCUUAAUGUCUUUAUACCAGGUAGGUAACAUAGUAUUAGUAUAUUUAACUCACCACAACUCUCCCUCGUUUUACUCGGGUUGGGUCCUCACGGUCUUAACUGCAUCCGGAGUAAAGAUUUGUACUUCUCAACUUUUCCCGCUUUUGGUUUCUCUCGCUCUUUACGCUUCGCUAAUGGAUUCAACUGUACGAGUAUGGGGUCAAAGCGUUCUGGUCAUAGGUGGUACCGUAGUCGAUGUGUUUGUGUUACACUAAAUAAAUAUAUAACGUCGUUACGUUCCAAACUAAAAGGACCGAUUCUCUCUUGUUCCCUCGUGGUACGAAUGGAUAAAAAGCCUAAUAGUGGAGCAGAUAGAACGUCGGCUUCACCAAGGUCGAUAAGGUGGACUUAUGUGGCACGACAGUCAAGUCGUUCUGAACUAACAACCUUUAUAAAGUACCUCUUCGUCUAUCUUUGGUCAAGAGGGACAAGCCAAAUCUCCCCGAACUUCUCCUGAGCCCAGAAGAAACCAAGUAUCCUAUCUUUAUAGUAUCCUUAUACUUUGAACAUCCUUAACUCUACAGUACAUAAGAUUUAGGAUACUUAUCCUUAUCUUUUUAUCUACAGGCAAACAAGUGUAGUAUCCUAAUAAAAAAUUCAGAUCCGAUUACAAUAAAAGGAC
rnacentral:rRNA from 1 species